UACGUAGGAGGCAAGCGUUGUCCGGAUUUACUGGGCGUAAAGCGCGCGCAGGCGGCAGUGCAAGUAAGGUGUGAAAUCUCCCUGCUCAACGGGGAGGGUGCAUUUUAGACUGCACAGCUAGAGGUCGGUAGAGGGGGGUGGAAUUGCUGGUGUAGCGGUGAAAUGCGUAGAGAUCAGCAGGAACACCCGUGGCGAAGGCGGCAUACUGGUCCA
rnacentral:rRNA from 1 species